UACGUAGGUGGCAAGCGUUGUCCGGAUUUAUUGGGUUUAAAGGGUGCGUAGGCGGCCCUGUAAGUCAGUGGUGAAAUACGGCAGCUCAACUGUCGAGGUGCCAUUGAUACUGCGGGGCUUGAGUACAGACGAGGCAGGCGGAAUUGACGGUGUAGCGGUGAAAUGCUUAGAUAUCGUCAAGAACACCGAUAGCGAAGGCAGCUUGCCAGGCUGUAACUGACGCUCAGGCACGAAAGUGCGGGGAUCAAACAGG
rnacentral:rRNA from 1 species